GGGGCUUGCUGGGAUCAUGGCGGAGAAUCACUGCGAGCUCCUGUCGCCGGCCCGGGGCGGCAUCGGGGCGGGGCUGGGGGGCGGCCUGUGCCGCCGCUGCAGCGCUGGGCUCAGCGCCCUGGCCCAGCGCCCCGGCAGCGUGUCCAAGUGGGUCCGACUCAACGUCGGCGGCACCUACUUCCUCACCACUCGGCAGACCCUGUGCCGGGACCCGAAAUCCUUCCUGUACCGCUUAUGCCAGGCCGAUCCCGACCUGGACUCAGACAAGGAUGAAACAGGCGCCUAUUUAAUCGACAGAGACCCCACCUACUUUGGGCCUGUGCUGAACUACCUGAGACAUGGCAAGCUGGUGAUUAACAAAGACCUCGCAGAGGAAGGAGUGUUGGAGGAAGCAGAAUUUUACAAUAUCACCUCAUUAAUAAAACUUGUAAAGGACAAAAUUAGAGAACGAGACAGCAAAACAUCGCAGCCCCGUCUGCAGCCUGAGUCCUCCGUAGUGAGUGUCCGGGAUGUGGGGCCACCCCGCCCACUGGGGAGCAGCUCCAUGCAAGCAGGCGGCCCUGGUGGCUCACCAUCACUCCCAGGACCACAGCUGCCUGGAGGGGCACAGCAAGC
rnacentral:sRNA from 1 species